CCUACGGGUGGCUGCAGUGGGGAAUAUUGGACAAUGGGCGCAAGCCUGAUCCAGCAAUACCGCGUGUGUGAAGAAGGCCUGAGGGUUGUAAAGCACUUUCACUAGGGAGGAAAACCUGCCGGCCAAUACCCGGCAGCUUGACAUUACCUAUAGAAGAAGCACCGGCUAACUCCGUGCCAGCAGCCGCGGUAAUACGGAGCGUGCAAGCGUUAAUCGGAGUGACUGGACGCAAAGCGUUCGGUGGCGGUUGAAAGCCCCGGGCUUAACCUGGGAACUGCAUUUGAUACUGGGCAACUAGAGUUUAAUAGAGGAGAGUGGAAUUUCAGGUGUAGCGGUGAAAUGCGUAGAGAUCUGAAGGAACACCAGUGGCGAAGGCGACUCUCUGGAUUAAAACUGACGCUGAGGUACGAAAGCGUGGGUAGCAAACAGGAUUAGAUACCCGUGUAGUC
rnacentral:rRNA from 1 species